UACACCGCUGACGGUUGAGACACCGUUAUAUCCGCAAUUAUUUGUUUGGUGAGUGAAAAUUAACUCGAUACAGGACGAGUAGUAAAGCGGUCGCACCUGCUAUUCGUAGGGGAUAGAA
rfam:Clostridiales bacterium 41_12_two_minus Ley3_66761_scaffold_1402, whole genome shotgun sequence.